GGCUCAGGACGAACGCUGGCGGCGUGCUUAACACAUGCAAGUCGAACGAUGAAGCCCAGCUUGCUGGGUGGAUUAGUGGCGAACGGGUGAGUAACACGUGGGUGAUCUGCCCUGCACUCUGGGAUAAGCCUGGGAAACUGGGUCUAAUACCGGAUAUGACCUCUUGCUGCAUGGCGAGGGGUGGAAAGUUUUUCGGUGCAGGAUGAGCCCGCGGCCUAUCAGCUUGUUGGUGGGGUAAUGGCCUACCAAGGCGACGACGGGUAGCCGGCCUGAGAGGGCGACCGGCCACACUGGGACUGAGACACGGCCCAGACUCCUACGGGAGGCAGCAGUGGGGAAUAUUGCACAAUGGGCGAAAGCCUGAUGCAGCGACGCCGCGUGAGGGAUGACGGCCUUCGGGUUGUAAACCUCUUUCAGCAGGGACGAAGCGAAAGUGACGGUACCUGCAGAAGAAGCACCGGCCAACUACGUGCCAGCAGCCGCGGUAAUACGUAGGGUGCGAGCGUUGUCCGGAAUUACUGGGCGUAAAGAGCUCGUAGGCGGUUUGUCGCGUCGUCUGUGAAAUCCCGCAGCUCAACUGCGGGCUUGCAGGCGAUACGGGCAGACUCGAGUACUGCAGGGGAGACUGGAAUUCCUGGUGUAGCGGUGAAAUGCGCAGAUAUCAGGAGGAACACCGGUGGCGAAGGCGGGUCUCUGGGCAGUAACUGACGCUGAGG
rnacentral:rRNA from 1 species